rnacentral:misc_RNA from 1 species
GAUGAAGAACGUAGUGAAAUGCGAUACGUAAUGUGAAUUGCAGAAUUCAGUGAAUCAUCGAGUCUUUGAACGCACAUUGCGCCCCCUGGUAUUCCGGGGGGCAUGCCUGUCCGAGCGUCAUUGCUGCCCUCAAGCACGGCUUGUGUGUUGGGCCUCCGUCCUCCUCCCGGGGGACGGGCCCGAAAGGCAGCGGCGGCACCGCGUCCGGUCCUCGAGCGUAUGGGGCUUCGUCACCCGCUCUUGUAGGCCCGGCCGGCGCUUGCCGACACAUCAAUCUUUUUUCCAGGUUGACCUCGGAUCAGGUAGGGAUACCCGCUGAACUUAAGCAUAUCAAUAAGCGAGGA